rnacentral:rRNA from 1 species
GACGAACGCUGGCGGCGUGCUUAACACAUGCAAGUCGAACGGUGACCCAGGGCUUGCCCUGGUGAUCAGUGGCGAACGGGUGAGUAACACGUGGGGCAACCUGCCCCUGACUUCGGGAUAACUCCUCGAAAGAGGAGCUAAUACCGGAUACGACCACUUCGGACAUCCGAUGGUGGUGGAAAGUUUUUCGGUCAGGGAUGGGCCCGCGGCCUAUCAGCUAGUUGGUGGGGUAAUGGCCUACCAAGGCGACGACGGGUAGCCGGCCUGAGAGGGCGACCGGCCACACUGGGACUGAGACACGGCCCAGACUCCUACGGGAGGCAGCAGUGGGGAAUAUUGCGCAAUGGGCGAAAGCCUGACGCAGCGACGCCGCGUGAGGGAUGAAGGCCUUCGGGUUGUAAACCUCUUUCUAGCAGGGACGAAGCGAAAGUGACGGUACCGUGCAGAAGAAGCACCGGCUAACUACGUGCCAGCAGCCGCGGUAAU